rnacentral:lncRNA from 1 species
UGCUUAUGACAUUUCAGCGACAACGAUCAGUAAUGUGAAGCAGCCUAUUGCAAAUGCUUCUCUUCUUGAGGCAAACCCAUUGAAUUAUGGUGCCGGGCACAUCUGGCCUAGCCGUGCAACGGACCCAGGCCUGGUCUAUGACCUAACGACUAAAGAUUACGUGAAUUUUCUAUGCUCCAUUGGCUAUAAUUCAACCCAGUUGUCACUUUUUAUUGGGAAGCCAUACAUAUGCCAGCAGCACAAUGGCCUGCUGGAUUUCAACUAUCCAUCCAUUACUGUCCCGAAUCUCUCAAGCAACAAGACCACGUUGUCCCGAACCUUGAAGAACGUGGGGACUCCAAGCUUGUAUAGAGUUAAUAUCAGGGCACCUGGAGGCAUAUCUGUGAAGGUUGAGCCAAGAAGCUUGAAGUUCGAUAAGAUAAACGAAGAGAAAAUGUUCAAGGUCACUCUAGAGGCCAAGAAAGGGUUUAAGAGUAAUGACUUCGUGUUUGGAGAGAUAACGUGGUCUGAUGGGAAACACCAUGUGAGGAGUCCUGUUGUGGUGAAGAAGAUGGAAGUAGCAGCGUAAGGUUGAAGGACAGUACUGACCUGGCGUCUGGAUUUGUAGGUGGAAGGCCAGCGUGUAGAGAUCUAUAUAUCUCCAUGGUCACCAAAUCGAUCUUCAAAUUCCCGUUCCAUGUCAUGACAAGUAUCGAAUGUCACCAAAUCGUGUCAUUUUUUUAUGCCACUAAUCUAGUGAUUGAACUAAAAAAAUAAAAAUAAAAAUAAAUGGGUUUGUUUUAGAAUGUUUUGGAAUGGUUCUUGGUUUUUAUCUACUUUCUAUUGAUUUUGUUUAGUUGCUUUAGUAUUUUUGUUUUUCUAUUUUUAUGUUAUUUAUGGCUCUGUUUUUUACCUUUUGUUGUGUGACAACUGAUUAGGUUACUGUAUAUUAAGGUUUUUUAGAGUGUAGGUAAUUCUUUGAAGCCUAGCUUACCAUCUUUCAUUUAUUAACAAAAUCUUAUGAUAAAGACAUUCAAUUGUCAUAUCCCUCAAUUGGAGAACAAAAGGAUAUACAUACAUUUUGUAGGUGUCAAAAAAAUAUGAAAGAUCUAUUAAUGUUAUUUAUUUACCUUAGUUUUUUUUAGGCUUAAUAAUUCUAUCUAGGAAAUUAUUUUCUAGUAUCUAAUUAAUCACAUAUUGCAGUGCGAUUAAGCUAAUGAUAAAUGAAUUCCCAAAAGAUUUAUCUACUUAUCGUGGUUUUUUUUUCUUUAGGCUUCAUAAUUGUACCUAAGAAAAUGACAUAUUACAUUACAAUUAAGUUAAUGAUGAAUGAAUUCCUACAAAGACCUUUUACCGAAGAAUGUGACCAUUUUAAGAGGUAGUAUAACAUCAUAAUUUUCUAAAAUAUCUUAGGUGUUGUUUUUGAACAAGUAUAUCCAAUUCAAACAUAAUAGUAAUAUUAUUUGGAAAAUUCUACUUUUAAUGUAUAAUAAGAAUAGUUGAUAAUAAAAAAAAUUAAACCUUCUAGUGAAUUUAAGAUGAUUUGAGAAAUAAGAACAAGAUCCUAAAUUAACAAGAUUCCAAGACCCGCUCCACAAUCACAACUAAAAAAUCCAAUUAAAAACACAUGAGGUUGUGGCCUAGUGGUUGAAGGGACUUGUUCCCUUCCUCCACACCAGGGUUCAAGCCUCACUUGUGUAUACCUGUCACCCCCGCGGUGUAUUACAUGCUCACUGGGCUUGCAGGAUAUUCAGUGAACCUGGAGAUUAGUUGUGGUGCGCUCAAGUUGGCCCGGACACCCCGUGUUACCAAAAGAAGAAGAAGAAGAAGAAGAAAAUAGAUAAUAUAUAACAAAAACAAGAGGAAAAGGUGAUAAAGAAAGGGAUUUGAGGGAGAGUAUUACCUGAAAUUAUAGGGAUUCAAGGAAGCUUCAAUCUUGAUUUAUGCAAAGUGGAUCUGUACGAGGUUUAUUUUUUGUUAAAGAAAGGGAAGUCUUUUUCGGAGCUAAGAAGAGGGAAACACUUUUCUUUUAGGAAAUACUUAUUUUUUUCUUUAGUUGAAAACUACCAUUCUAGAGUUUACCGAACAUGAAAAAGUUUUGGAAAAUAACUUAUUGAAAAGUUAUUUCCAUAAAACAAACAAGGCCUUAAUGUUAAGAUAUACCAGUGUCCCAUAGGACAUCUUAGUAAACUAAAUGUAAAAAUUGUUAAAAAAUAAAAAAAGUUCUAGGUAAAGAGCUGGUUAUAUGAUAGAGAAGAUAACAAUCACCCUAUACAUUCUAUCUAAAGUAAGUUGCUUCAUAUUUAUUUUUAAUGAUAAAGGUGUAUAAUAUGUUUACGCGCUAAGAGUUUGUCUAAAUUGGCAUAUGCUCAUUUGUUAUUAAGGAUAAAUACUAUUAUGACUUAAGAUAGUGAUUUAAGACUUGGACUUGGUAACAAGGAACACUUUUCACUUUGAAAAAACGAGCAUUAGACCCGCAGGGAAGGUGAGAAAUUGAUAAGUAUAAACCUGUUCAAGAUUCUGUUGAUUGAAAUGGGUCCAAAAACUAUCCCUCACACUCAAUAGGCCUAUAUGUGAUCAUAUCGAUCCAACCCAAAUUCGCUCGUCGCAUCAAAAAAAGGUAUUCCAAAAAAAAAUCAAUAUGAAAAUAAAUUCGUACACAUCUACAUGAACAUAUAAAAUUCAAAUAAUAGGAUAUUUAUAAAUAAUAUUAACGAGUUAAACUUAAAGUCAAGGUUUUACAAAUAUAGUCGAGACCGAAGCCUCUGACCUAGGUUAUGGCGGAAUUCUUAAACAAGUUCAAGAUGACAAAGAGCAGAUCCUCGAAUGCACAUCCGCCCACUAGAAUGAUUGCCAGAAAAGUACUCUACUAUAUAUAUAUAUAUAAAGAGAUCCUUUCAAUUGUUUUCUAUAUUAAAAAAUUUCAAAGUGAUUUACUAAAUCAAAAAUUUCUUUUAUGUGUUGAUUGCAAAUCCGCAAAAGAAGUUCUAUAAAAAGAUGUCCAAAAUCUUGCUUCAAAAUAGAUUUUUGCCAGAUGGCAAGCUAUUUUAAGCAUUUUUUAUUUCAAUAUUGUCUACAUUAAAGGAGAUUCAAAUUUCAUUCCUGAUUUCUUAACCUGAGAAUUCCUUCAAAAUAGGUCUUGAUGCCUCUGAAAGCAAAGGCCAAAGACAAGAGAAAAGCCCCUCAAACCCAACCUACAAAACCAGAGAGCCCCAAACCCUCUAUAAAACAAUGUCUUCAGCUAUCUUAGCUGCCAAACCAAUCAAAUCCUCGUAUGAGGCAGUUAUUAAAGAAGAAGAAACUACAAAAACCCCAACAGGUACAAACAGACGCAGUUCAACAUUGGGUUGACACUAUAUCCAAAUCACCAUAAUUACUCCUGGCAUUACAAAAAGUGUCUCAACAGACCUCCGGUGACUCCGUAUCUCAAACAGGUAGUAUUUUUCAAACCACUUUCAAAACCAUAAGGAGGUAUUUCUACUUCAAAACCCCUCAUUUCUUUACAACAAACUAGUUUUCUAAAAACCAAAUCCAAAUAUAUUUUCAAAACUACUUUCCAAAAUAUUUUAACUAUGGAGGAAGGAUUUUAUCAUGAAAACCCUUUCAUUGCUUCUUCCAAAAUUUUCCCUUCAAAUUGGUACUACAAACCCUGGAAUUUAGCCAAACCACAAUCCUAUUAUGCCGUAAUCCUUGAGAUUACUAAUUCUAUCAAGUUCAAACACUUCAAACUUCAUUCUGAUCACACUGAACCGGCAUAUUCUACAUGUAUCAUUCACAAAGUCAUUCACCCUAAAGACUUGGGUCAACCCUUACAUCAACAUCUUUCCUUCCCCAUACACUUCUGUACAAACCCCUAGGACUUCAAUACUUCCUAUACAUAUUGGGAUUACCAACAGGCAUGGUUCAAUGCCUUCCUCCUAUAAAAUCCAAACCAUAGUCAUUCUUGGCUUUUCUACUUCCAUAAUGACAUGAAUACUACAAACCUCCCCCUCUGGUUCCUCCAAUGGUGGGACUAUUAUGGUUGUCAUGUUGACUACCUCAAAGGCCAUCCUCUGGUUGAAAACGGCUACCUCCAUUUCAAAAAUAAUUUUUAACCAGCUUCUUCUGAAAGGAAGUUCUCUUCCUUGCUCAUUUUCUGUACAAAUUUUUUUAUGUCAUGGGUAUGUUUGUGGUUCUAUGAUUAUAAUUGUCGCACGUAAAUGCGGCGUCACGGCGAAAAACUAAGUUUUCCAUUUUUAAAACCACAAUGUAAUAUAUAUAUGGGGAUACGAGAAAAUAUUAUUUUUUUUUUGGUAAAAAUGGAAUGGGAGUCGCCACCUAGUAUUUUGGUCACUAGGAACCCUAACUGGUCUCAGAGAUCGGGUACGGGGACUGGUUGCGUAAAGGGAAGGUAUUAGCACCCCAAGUACGCCUUACCUAAGGUAAGCUGCAUUGUUCUAUUGUCUGAUAAAAGCUAUGGUGUUUUUUUUUUUUUCUAGUCGUUGGUCUGUCUAUGGUUCAAGAAAAAUCCUCCUCAGUAAGAAGGUCUUUUAUCUUAUCGGGUAAAAACUUAACCGUUCUAACGUCUACCAAAAAGAUAAUAUUUAGGAAUACGUUUUACGUAUAAAUUCGUAAUCCCAAAUACUAAAAGAAAACAAAAAGAUUUUUUAGAAUUUUUGAAAUCUUGGCCUAGUUCUCAUGGCUUAAAUAAACUGGUUAUUCAAGCCAAAAUGCAUGCUAAUACGUACAUUGUUUUGAAAAUUUUCUUUGUUGUGUAAAAAAAAUGAUGUUAUAAUAUUUAUAUCUAUAUAUAUUGGAGAGACUAAGCCGUAUUUUAAAGACAAAAACAAUUUUUGAAAAUAUUAUUAUUAUUAAUUCUUUUUUUUUUUGCUUUUUUUUGACGUAAAUCGGGUAUUUAAAUACUGAGCUUGUAUCCUUACGGUAUAAAAAUACAACCCAAUAUUAUUCCACCUUAAUAAAAAAUGCAGAAAAAUCAACAACAUUUUUAGGUAUUUUUUUAGAAAUUUUUUUGAAAGCAAAAACAUUUUUUAUUCGAAAAAUCUUUGAUAUUUUUACGAAAACCGGGUAUUUUUAACACUGGUUUGAUAUCUUUACAGUAUAAAAAUACCAACCAACAUUAACCCAUUUUGACAAAAAUAUUCAGGGAAAUCAACAAUAUUUUUUAAGAUUUUUCGAAAUAUUUUUUUUUUAGUAAAAAAAAAUAUACACAAUAUACACACAUAUAUAUUACAAUAUACUAUAAUUAAUAAUAUAUUUAUAAUAAAAAUUCGGGUUGGGCCGGACCAAAUGAAUGGGCCGAACCCAACCCAGCCGGAAUCGGGCCCAACAUCAGCCCGAAACAGGAGUGGGCCGAUCGCAGCCCAGCAAAAGGCUGGGCCGAUCUCGGCCCGCAAGGAGGUUGGGCCGAUCUCGGCCCAACGAAAGGCUGGGCCGAUCUCGGCCCGCAAGGAGGUUGGGCCGAUCUCGGCCCAACGAAAGGCUGGGCCGAUCUCGGCCCGCAAGGAGGUUGGGCCGAUCUCGGCCCAACGAAAGGCUGGGCCGAUCUCGGCCCGCAAGGAGGUUGGGCCGAUCUCGGCCCAACGAAAGGCUGGGCCGAUCUCGGCCCGCAAGGAGGUUGGGCCGAUCUCGGCCCAACGAAAGGCUGGGCCGAUCUCGGCCCGCAAGGAGGUUGGGCCGAUCUCGGCCCAACGAAAGGCGGGGCCGAUCUCGGCCCGCAAGGAGGUUGGGCCGAUCUCGGCCCAACGAAAGGCUGGGCCGAUCUCGGCCCGCAAGGAAGUUGGGCCGAUCUCGGCCCAACACAAGGCUGGGCCGAUCUCGGCCCGCAAGGAAGUUGGGCCGAUCUCGGCCCAACACAAAAAACAUCUUUAGCCUGGGCCAGACUCGGUCUGGCCCAAAAUGAAUAACAACAAAACUGGGCCGGAAACCCGGCCCAGUGUUAAAAAAAACUCAGCGGGGAAGGGAAAACAGUUCCCUUCCCCUACCUCCUGCAUGCAGAACGAUUCUGCAUGCAGGAGGACAAACAGAAAAAAAAAAGUGCAGGGGGUGGAGGAAAUACCUGGCACGGCGGAGGAAAUACCCGUGUUGAUGGUGCUGCAGCAAAGUUGGUGGCUCCCAAGCGACGGUGCUUAACAGUCGGGUGUCCUCUCGGGUCGUGUCCGGUUAACGUUUUCUCUAACUCUCCCCACGGCUUCAGUCUUCUUCCCCUCCUCCCCGUGCUGUUUCUUCGAGUUUUAGGUGUUUAGUUCUACUGUUUAAGUCGUCUCUCUCUCCUCCAGUUUCUCUCUCUCUCUUGGUCUUGGUCUCCCCCUUUUUUCUCCUCUUUUCUCCCCCGUGCUUCACAUCUUUCCCCUUCUUUUAUAGGCGGGCAAAGGAGCGGGGCUGCAUAGGCAGCGUGGGGAGCAGAACAAGGUGGGUCGAGCUGGGCAACGUGGGGGGCAGCGCCGGUCGGCUGGUCGGUGAGCGUGGUUGAUCACGGCGUGGCCCUCCUGGCUUCGCGUCGUCCGAGGUGCAUGGGCCUGGUCUGUCAGUGCACGCGAGGAGAGAGGGGCACCGGUUGAUUAAACAACGGUUUCGUCCAUGCUGCUGCACGUUCGGGGAGGAAGAAGAAAGGAGAACAGUGCCGUUCAAAACGGCACCGUUUGGUCCCCUUUUUUUUUUUUUUUUUUUUUUUUUAAAAUAUAUGAAACGGCGUCGUUUUGGGGAAAACGCGCCGUUUCAUUUAAAAAAAGGCGCCAGAAUACGCAAAAUUUCAACUCAGCCCUCAAUUAUCUUUUGAUUCCUUCAAUUGCGUCCCUGCCAAUUUCGGUCCUCGCCCCCAUAGUUGGCCGCGUUUUUCAUCUUGGUCCUUGGCCUCUGAUUUAUGCAAUUAAGCCCUCAAUUGACCAAUAAACUUCCAAUUUCUUCAAUUACGCCCCUGGAUCAAAUCAAGACAGCCCCCUCUAUUUACCCGCGUGUUCCAAAUUGGUCCCUGGUUUCGGAUUUUCACAAUUAAGCCCCUAAUUGGCCAUUAAACUUCAAUAUUUAUGCAAUUAAGCCCCUGAUUUGGCCUAAUAAAUUCCAAAAAAAUAUAUUUUGGCCCCAGAACUUAAAUUUCUCCCAAUUAAAACCCAAAUUGACCUAAAAAUAAAUUUUUCUUGCACUCCAAUCCUCUAUAAAUUCAAAUAAAAUCCAAUUAAGUCCCUAAACAUCCAAAUUUGGGCUUUUCUCCUCAAAAAUUCAAAUUUUCCUUCUCAACAGGGCUCUCAUCCUUCAAGAAAAUAUUGCCAAAAAUCCAAUCUCUGUAUUUUUAACCUCCGUGACCAAUCUUUCGACCAUUUUCUGAGCGCUUAUGCCUCCUGUUAUUUUUUCUAACCUUCUUCGGCUAUUUAUUUAUUAUUAUUUUUUUGUGGGGAUCCAAAAAUGGGUUACAACAGAUGCCCCCUCUUUAUAAUGCUUACGGAGCAAAGGCGUAGUAAGUUUUAUAAAGAUAACCCAGUCUGAACUCCUGAAACUGAUUUGGUCGAAGCUUAAUCGAUCUGAAAUUCUUUCUUUACAGCAAUCCUCUUCGGCCUCAAAUAUUGGGAUCCCAUCUGGCGAUUCCCUGAACAUAGAAAAUAUGAGGUCCCCUCUGGCGACCUCUUUUGACAAUUAUCGAAAUACGAGAUCCCUUCUGGCGAUCUCCUUUAAUCAACUUGGAACCCCAUCUGGCGAUUCCUAUAUGAAAUAUGAGAUAUGAGGUCCCAUCUGGCGGCCUGCAAGUAGUGAAACACGAGAUCCCUUCUGGCGAUCAACCUGGAAUCCCAUCUGGCGAUUCCUUUUUAACCAAAAUGAAAUAUGAGGUCCCGUCUGGCGACCUUCGAAUAGUGAAACACGAGAUCCCUUCUGGCGAUCUCCUUUAAUCAACUUGGAAACCCAUCUGGCGAUUCCUUUUUAACCAAGAUGAAAUACGAGGUCCCAUCUGGCGACCUCCGAAUAGUGAAACACGAGAUCCCUUCUGGCGAUCUCCUUUAAUCAACUUGGAAUCCCAUCUGGCGAUUCCUUUUUAACCAAAAUGAAAUACGAGGUCCCAUCUGGCGACCUCCGAAUAGUGAAACACGAGAUCCCUUCUGGCGAUCUCCUUUAAUUAACUUGGAAUCCCAUCUGCGAUUCCCCUUUUUCCAAAAUGUUAUCGACGUCGCUCUUCCUGCUGGCGGGUUUUGACAAUUACUUUCUCUUCUUGUUGUUCUAACGGUUCAUUAUUCGUCCCCAUUCUUGUUGGAAUGCACUAAGAUCUCCUCCUGUAACGAUAGAGAAAAGAACAUACAUGCAAUGAUUUAUGAUUAGAUAUAAUGCAUGCAUCCGUACCUGGUUUUUUUGAAACAUAGGCCCCAUCAUCUUCUUCUAGUUCCUGAAGCUCUUUCUUAAUACGAGCUUGCUUUUGAAGUCAUAUGCUGGAUUCAUCUCUCGCGUUGCCUCUUUUUACUGAUCAUAUUCUUGGAGAAUAAUUCUUUGAUUUUCUUCAAGUAGACAUUUUCUCAAAAUGUAUGACUUGUUAUUGCCUUUUUGUCAUGCUUUUGUCAAAUGCUUUAGCUUGGUUUUCAAAUUUGUUGGCUUCCGUAAUACUUUUAUAAAAACAUCUUGUAUUGCCUCCCAACGUAGGGGUGUGAUCCUAGUUUGGGCUUUUAUAUAGAGAAGAAAUGCGUUCAGCCGAUGCUAAAAAUUUUAAUAAGUGAUGAGAAUAACACCAAGACAUGCACUGUUUGGAUUAAUGCGAAAAUGAAUGUUGUGAGAUCAAUGCAAGAAGAAAGAAAUCAAUGGCCAAACUUUGCUUUAUUGAUUUAAGGGUUUACAUCAAGCAUAAUAUCUUUUCACAGAGUCAGAAUUCACAGGCCUAGCUAAGUCUUCUCCAUCCAUUCUAGCUAACUUCAAUGCUCCUCCUGAGAAUGCCCUUGUUACUACAUAAGGACCCUCGUAAUUUGGUGCCCAUUUGCUUUGAUCAUCUCCGGGUAGUGACAAUAUUUUCUUUAAUACUAAAUCCCCUUCUUGAAACAUCCGUGGCCUAACCUUCUUAUCAUAUGCUUUAGCCAUUCGUUUCUGGUAAAGCUGGUGGUGACAUAUUGCGGCCAUCCUCUUUCACUGAUCAGGUUCAGUUGCUCGUGUCUUACUUUGGCCCACUCGGCCUCUUCUAACUCUGAAUCUAUUAACACUCUUAACGACGGGAUUUCCACUUCCAAGGGCAUCACUGCCUCCAUACCGUAUACUAGAGAAUAUGGGGUAGACCCUGUCGAGGUUCGGACUGCGGUGCGAUAUGCAUGAAGGGCAAAUGGCAACAUCUCAUGCCAAUCCCUGUAGUUGACUACCAUCUUCUGAAUAAUCUUUUUGACAUUCUUGUUAGCAGCUUCUACCGCCCCAUUCAUCUUUGGUCUAUAUGGCGAAGAAUUGGAAUGCUUGAUUUUCCACUUAGUGCAGAGCUCUAUUAUCAUCUUGCCGUUGAAAUUUUGGGCAUUGUCAGUUAUAAUCUUUUCUGGUGGACCAUACCGACAUAUCAAAUCUCUCUCAAUAAACUUCUUCACCACUUUUUGCGUCACAUGAGCAAAUGACCCGGCUUCUACCCAUUUUGUGAAGUAGUCAAUAGCCACGAGGAUAAAUCUAUGACCAUUGCUCGCUUUUGGGUUUACAGGUCCAAUUACAUCAAUUCCCCACAUCGCGAAGGGCCAUGGAGAUGUUAGGUUAAACAGAGGAGCUGGUGGCAUAUUGACCUUGUCACUGUAAAUUUGACAUUUGUGACAUUUUCUGACAUAGUCUAUACAAUCUUUUUCUAGUGUCAUCCAAAAAUAACCAGCCCUUUGGAUUUUCCUUGCCAUCAUAUGUCCGCUAGCAUGGGUUGAGCAAAUCCCCUCAUGGACCUCUUUUAAUGCCCUUCUAGCAUCUGCCUCAUCCAAACACCUUAACAAGGUUCCAUCAAAUGACCUUUUAUAUAAAAUCUCUCCAUCUAAAUAGAAGUCUAUAGCCAACCUUCUCAAGGUUUUCUUAUCCGUCUUAGAAGCUCCCACCGGAUAUUCCUGAUUCUGCACCAGAUUCUUGAUAUCGUAAUACCAAGGUUGUCCGUCUAUCUCUCCCUCAACUAAACAACAGUGAGCUGGAUCAUUUCUAAUAUCAAUGUGUACCGGUUGUACCUUGCACUUGAGAUCAAUGGUAGUCAUAGCAGCUAAUGUGGCCAAAGCAUCCGCAAAAUGGUUCCCCUCCCUUCCCAGAUGGGUGAAUCUAAUUUCUUCAAAUUCCUUUGCUAGCAUGGAUAGGUAUUCCUGGUAAGGCCUCAACUUUUCUUCUUUGGUUUGCCAUUCCCCUUUUACCUGGCAAAUGAUCAACAUUGAGUCCCCAUAUACAUCUAUCUUCUUUAUUUUCAGCUCCAAUGCUGCUUCUAAACCGAGGAUACAAGCUUCAUACUCAGCUGUAUUGUUGGUGCACUCGAAGUGUAGUUUGACCGAAACGGGGUAUUGUUUCUUAUCAGGAGAGAUUAUUACCGCCCCUGCCCCGUUACCAUAUACAUUUACUGCCCCAUCAAAAAACAUGGUCCACCAAUCUGUCUUUUCUUCUUCCUUUUCUAUUGACAAUAUAUCUUCAUCAGGGAAAUCAAAAUCCAAAGGUUCGUAAUCUUCAAUAGCAUUAUCGGCCAGAUGGUCUGCGAUUGCACUCCCUUUUACGGCUUUCCUUGUCAUAUACACUAUGUCAUAUUCUGCUAACAAAACUUGCCACCUUGCAAUCCUACUUGAGAGAAAAGGCUUAUUACAAAUAUACCUCAGAGGAUCCACUUUUGAAAUCAACCAAGUGGUAUAGUAUAACAUGUAAUGUCUCAACCUCUUUGCCGCCCACACCAACGCACAACAGAGCCUUUCUAUCUCCGUGUAUCUGGACUCACAUUCAGUGAAUUUCUUACUCAAGUAAUAAAUAGCUCUUUCCUUCCUUCCGGUUUCAUCAUGCUGACCCAAUACACAACCCAUGGCUACUUCAGUAACGGUUAGAUAUAAUACUAGAGGUUUUCCUGAUACAGGAGGAACCAGUAAAGGUGGAUUUUGUAAAUAAUGCUUGAUUUUAUUGAAUGCCUCCUCACACUCCUCAUUCCAGGUUCCGGGAUUCUUUUUCCUUAGUAGCCGGAAUAUAGGCUCGCAUGUUGUUGUUAGCUGAGCUAUAAACCGAGCAAUGUAAUUCAACCUUCCCAAGAAUCCUCUUACUUCUUUCUCCGUCUUAGGGGACGACAUGGCCUGGAUGGCCCUUACUUUAUCCGGAUCCACCUCUAUACCUCUAUCACUUACCACAAAUCCCAACAGCUUGCCCGAUUUAACUCCGAAUGAACAUUUUGCAGGAUUAAGCCUUAGUUCAUACUUUCUCAACCUCUCAAAUAACUUCCUCAAAACUUCCACAUGAUCUUGUUCCUUUUUAGACUUGGCAAUCAUAUCAUCUACAUAUACCUCAAUUUCUUUGUGCAUCAUGUCGUGGAAUAGAGUCACCAUUGCUCUUUGAUAUGUUGCACCCGCGUUCUUUAACCCAAAUGGCAUGACCUUGUAGCAGUAGGUCCCCCAAGGUGUGACAAAAGUUGUUUUCGCCUUAUCCUCUAAAGCCAUUUUUAUUUGGUUGUAUCCUGAAAAACCGUCCAUAAAGGAAUAAGUGGAACUUCGGGCAGCAUUAUCCACUAAAACAUCUAUGUGGGGUAGAGGAAAAUCAUCCUUAGGGCUGGCCUUAUUCAAAUUCCGAAAAUCCACACAAACUCGAAUCUUCCCUUCCUUCUUAGGCACCACAACAAUGUUAGAUACCCAUUGUGGGGUAUCUAACUACUUCUAGAAAACCAGCAUCCCACUGCUUUUCGAGUUCUGCCUUGACCUUGAUCCAGACGUCUGGGUGGGCCCUCCUUAGCUUCUGCUUGACUGGCUUAUAACCUUCCUCCAACGGUAUCUUGUGUUCUACAAUACUUGUAUCCAAACCGGGCAUAUCUUCAUAGGACCAAGCAAAGACAUCUGAAUACUCUUGUAAUAGGGUGAUCAUUUUUAUCCUUUGUUCAGAAGUAAUUAGGGUACCUAUUUUCAACUCUUUCUUGAGCUGACCAUUGCCCACAUUGAUGGUUUCGAGUUCCUCGGUGGCAGGCUUCCAAGUCUGUUCCUGUUGUUCUACUAGCCUGGUGAAUUCACUGAUGUUGCUUUCAUCCCACUCUUCUUCUUCCAUAGCUAUUACAUGCUCGUUCCAGUUUGGCCAUUUAUUCUUGAUGUUAAAUGUAUGCGAUGUUGUUGGAGAUCCGCUUUCAGGAUUCCUGAAAGCGGGAAGUGCUUGGUGUAAAUGCAUAUAUAAAAAACAAUUUCUGAAAAAGUGCAUGAUCUCACAUUCAUUCAAAGGAAAAAGGUGGGCUCUAUGACAAAUAUAGAAUCUAGCUGACAUCAUGAGCCUUGAUUGUCAACUAGAGAAAACAAAAGCAAACAUAAGCAAUGACAAAAACAUGCUAAGGCAAACAAAGUUGGUUUACAUUUUGAAAACCACUGGAGCUUCUUGGGUCACCCAAUUCUGAAACUUUUCGCCUGGAGCCAACUUGCGCACAACGGUCUUGGCGGAGACUUCUUCUAGUGUAUGGAUCGUCAGCUGUGGUAGCACUUCAUCUUCUUUUCCCGCUACUGCUUUCACGUCAUCCCCUUUCUUCUCGUUUCCCUCCAAGGUGUUUAUGCUCAUAUGAGCCAGUUCUAUACCCAGGCUUUCAGCUCCCUUAUCAUGUUGCACUACGUAUGCAGCUCUUGGGAAUGAUAUGCUAAGGGGAGGGAUUUCUAAUUGUUCUUCUUCAAGAUCUCUUCCUUUGAUUCUAGCCAUCCUUCUUGCCCUUCUCCGAUUAGCAGCCCAACGAUAAUCCUCUUGGUUAGGUUGAUAUCCUAACCCAAAUCUUUGAUCAGCCUUUCUCUUUCUUGUCGGAUUAGCCCCUUCUGGUAUUCCGCAAGCGAGGUUAUAUUGACGUGGGACCCCACGGUUCAAGAAGCAUAGACUUGCCAUCCUUGUUGCUUCUGAAAUCCUUGGCCUUCUUAGCACGGUGUUCUCCGGCACCCAGUCGGUGUUCACGAUCUCAAAAGCAUGGAUAUUGCCAUCCUUGCAAUCCUCCGCUUCGAUGAAAGGCACAGCCACAUUCUUUAUCAUGGAUAUUGCCUCCUCAGCCUUGACAGUUACCAACAUCCCAUUCAUGAUGUACUUCAGGCAUUGGUGCAAUGACGAAGUUACUGCCCCCGCCGCGUGAAUCCAAGGUCUUCCCAACAACAUGCUAUAGGAAGGGUGGAUAUCCAUAACCUGAAGUGUCACUAGGAACAUUUGCGGUCCCACAUAUAGCUCCACUUCUAAAGUCCCAAGUAUUGGCCUAGGUGAGCCAUCAUAUGCUCUGGCCAUCAUAGUACUUGGCUUCAUAUGCGAUUCAUCAAUCGGCAUUUCCUCUAGAAUGUGCUUUGGCAGUACGUUGAGGGCCGAGCCAUUAUCGACGAGCACCUUCCCUACAAGACAGUCUUUGCACCUAACAGUAAUGUAUAAAGGCUUGUUGUGUCCGGUACCUUCGGCAUCAAGCUCAUCAGCCGUGAAGUAGAGGUAAUUAGUUGCAUGGAUCCUCCCUACUAAAUGCUCCAUGGUUUUAUGCUCAAUGUCUUGAGGUACAUAUGCCUCAUUCAAUACCUUUUGCAAGGCAUUUCGAUGCGGCUCAGAGCUGAGUAUCAAGGACAUAAGGGAGAUUCGCGCUGGAGUCUUUUUUAGUUGAUCCACUAUGCAAUAUUCGCUAUGCUUGAUCAACUUCAAAAACUCAUUCGACUCCUCUUCCGUUACUGGUUUAUUAACUUCGGGAGCUUUGUCCAGAUCUACCACCUCCUUACCCUUUUCCUUCCUCCAUUCUUCAGGCGUAAAGCAACGACCACUCCUGGUCAAACCACUUAUCUCCGUCUGGAACAAAGGAAGAGGCGCUCGAAUGUCGGAGGCAUACCCAUAAUUAUACGGCAUGGCAUUGUGAUUCUCUUUUGUGCAGGACGGUUUAAUCAAGAUCAGCCUUGGGGGCCCAUUAGCAGUCUGUUGGAUCCGGCAAACUCCUGCCAUCUCAUCUUGGCCUUCCAUCAUGCUCACUUCGUACCUGCUCUCCAUGGGUUCAAUCCUCAAUUGUCCCAUCUUCAACAUUUUUGCGAUCUUUUCGCAAAACUUUGCGCAAUCCUCAAUGUGAUGUCCAUCUCUUCCGUGGAACUCACAGUAGUCACCUCUCCCCGAUUGCCUUACCGCCUUUGCCUUUAGAAAUCCUGAUUGUACUAACAUGUCGUACAACCUUUUCAUCGGCACCUUCAACACCUUGCCUUGAUUUCCCACUUCGAUCAUGCCUAUUCCACCACUAUUUGGAGCAUGCUUAGGCAAUGGGUUUGAAUUAACAUUGGGCUUGUCUUCAAAGGAUACCCAUCCCGCCCUAAUAAGCUCUAAUAACCUCUUUUUGAAGGCAUAGCAAGUUUCAAUCCCAUGCCCGGGAUUACCCCCAUGGUACUCGCAAGACAACUCAGGCUUGUACCAAAUUGGGAAUGGUGGUUGUAAUGGUAGUGUAGGGAUAGGAGCUACUUGUCCAAUGCUCAACAGCUUGGCAUACAUGUCCUUCAAUGGCAUGGGUAAAGGCGGCAGUUGUUCUGAAGUGUAUCUUGGGUGUGGUCUUUGGUAGUGAUCUUGGUAGUGAUUUUGGUAGUUUGGCUGGUUAUUUGUUCGGUUAGGUGAAAAAGAUUGGUUAAAGUUUAUGCGUGAGACUUGAGCGGUAGGUGCUUGUGGACUACGGAAAUUUACUUUCUUGCCUUUGUACCCGUCCUCCAAAUUGUUGACGUCCCCUUCUCUUUUCCUUCCAACAAAACCUUUCUUCUCUAAAGGCUCCGCUAUGCGCCCAGCUUUAAUUCCUUGCUCUAUUCUUUCGGCCACGCGUACAACAUCAUAGAAAUGUUGAGAUGAGCUACCCAUUAAAUGCUCAUAGUAAGGUGCCUUGAAUGUAUUGGCGAACAAAGUCACCAUCUCUGUUUCUAUUAAAGGGGGUUGCACAUGCGUGGCCUCGUCUCUCCAUCUUUGCGCAUAAGCCCUCACUGACUCUUGGCUUCUCUUUUCGAGUGACAUGAGGCUCGUUCGAUCUGGAGCGAUUUCUAAAUUGAACUUGUAUUGCUUUAGGAAAGCCUCCACUAAGUCCUUCCAUUUCUUAAUCUUGACAUUAUCCAGCCUCAUGUACCAACUUAACGCAGAUCCUUGCUAGACUGUCUUGGAAAAAGUAGAUCAUUAACUUAUCGUCAUGAAUCACCUCAGCCAUCUUAUUGCAAUAAGAUCGAAGGUGAGUGUUUGGGCAUUCCAACCCAGUGUACCUUAUAAACUCCGGUAUCCUAAAAUCUUUUGGCACCGUGAGGUUUGGUACCAAGCAUAUUUCCGACGCUCGCAUGGGGUCAAACCAAUCAUUUCCCUCGACUGCUCUUAACCUUUCUUCUAAUGCUGAUAUUUUGUCCUCGUUCACAGAACCAGUGGACCUAUUAUCGGAAGGCCCCUCAGCUGUUAAAUCUACAGUGAUGCGAGCUUGAGGGGGCUGAAUGGGAAUAGCCGGUGCAAAGUGCUGCCCCGUCGCUGAAUCUGCCCCCAAGUUCUGAGAUAACCCCAGGACAGGAACUGGCGGUGCUCCUAUAGGUGGUUGGGUAGACGUUCCCUCUCCGUUCUUGGUUCUUAACAGUUGCUCAAGCAGACUGGUCAGUCGAGAAACUUCAUUUUUCACUAAUUCCAACUCGGUCUGGUAGUGCGACUCUAAUUGAGCUCUUUCCUCGUUUUCCAUUCUUGAUCUUGACCGGGUUUGGUGGACUCUGGAUAUGGGACCUAUGUUUCACGAUCUGGCAUGCAUAUGAUGAAUUAAAAACAAAAUGUGUGAUGAGAAUGCGAUGCAUAUGUAAUGUGUAUAUAUAUAUAAUAUAUUAUGAGCUGAUUCAUGACUUUCGUAACCUUUAACAAGAUUUCUGAGUUGACCGGAUUACCAUAAAGGAGGGUUUGCCAAGUUCUUAUCAUAGUGGCUUACUCAACACAUUAAGAAAGGAAAUACGUCAUGGACUUCUUAUAAAUAACAUAAUUGCUCAUACAAAACAAUAAUGGAAAAGAGAAGUCCUAUACAUUGCUACUUCUAAAAGGCAUUUCCCCUAUUAGCUAAAUCCCUAAUAAAACAGACCAUGGCCCCCAUGUAUUCUCGAUACUUUGAACCGUCAUUUCCAACUUCGGUGGCUUGCUGUUGCAACCUUUCUGCACAAUGGGCUACGUGCUCCACCUGUUUUGACAUAUGUCUUAUCUUAUCAUGGAAUACAGCGUUAUCUCCGAUUAUUGCUUCGUUGCUGGCUCCUAAUGCUUCAUUGCUUCUUUCCAAUACUCGCACCAUACCCUCUGAUUGUGCCAACUUAUCUCUUGUCCUCUGUAGUUCCUCCUUUUCGAUGUCCAGCUCUGCUAUUUUGGAAUUGAGUUGAACUGUGAAGCUGUCCAUGUAGUCUUGGCAUUCUUGACGCUCUUGCUUAACCUUGCUCAUCUCUUCUUCCAUCUCGAAGUAGUGGCUUCUCAACUCCCUAAACUCUUCUUCUCGUACUUCGAUCUCCGAUUGUAACGCCCUCAUCCUUCCUUUUGAAGACUCAGCUCUCUUCUGGUAAUCUCUCAUGUCAGACUCAGCGGCCCUUCUCGCAUUUCUUUCUUCCUCUAAUUGCACCAUGUAUUGAGCUCUAACCUUCCUUUCUUCUUCUAUGUCUAGGUUGGCUAGACGAUUCUUCUCCUUUUCAUCUUCUAUUUUCUUUAAAAGAAGUUUCCUUCCCUUCUUCAAAGAAUCCAUCAUCUCCUUAUCCACAUUCACGCCUUUUGUUGACCUCUUAACCUUAGCCAAUUCUUCUUCCGCUACCCCAUUCUUCUUGACCAACUCGUCAUAAUCAGCUAUUCGAUUCCUUAACUCAACCUGGACCCCCGUUGUUACCUCUUCAGCUACCUCGGCCCUUUUCUGCCAUUCCUUUAGAGACAUUAGUUGUUUCUCUUGUUUUUCUAACCGCUGAUUCAAGAAAACCCUCAUCGUAUUUUCCUCCUCGAGCUGGUUCUCUAGCAGUUGUUGUCGCCCCUUGCUUUUGCUGAGUUCUAUUAUACAUUGAUCUAAUUGUUUUUCUUAGAUCUUCUUCGUCAUCCUUUCUUUUCCUUUUCUGUGGUUCUAUCGCUGCCUCUGGCUGUUCUUGUGUAGAGAGACCCUUCGCUGCAGAAAAAUCUUCAUUCCUCCAAACUGUAUAAUUAUGGCUGAAUGAGGUUUCAAAACUACUUCCUUCUUCUCUUUUUACCUUCACGGGCCUUUCCCAAUCCUGUCGGAUAAGCGCCAUUUCUUCUAUGAACGGUUGGUGCUUGAAUAACCCAAUAAAAUCAGCUAAACCCAAGGUUCUUGGCGUAUAUUGCAUUCCGCCCAACUGCCUUGUUACGAGGGCGGGCGCAUAGCUGAUGUAACCAGUUACACCAAUUAGAGGAACCCAUAUCUUGCUUCCGCAGCUCAUUGUGCAAAUAGCGUUGUUCAUCCACGGCGCUUUCCAUUUGAAGUUGCUACUUGGCAAUGCUGCAUACUUAUCCCUCCAUGCUUUCUCAUCCCAAUUCUUCCAAGUCUCAUCUAUGGUAAUCUUUAGCGGUCGCAAGUCAAACCACCAAAAGUUGUUGAAGAUGUCUCUCGGUGCUUCGAUAUGACUAAUUAUCCAUAGGUACAACAUAGGGACGCAGCAUCUCAUAGCUCCUUUUCCAUGUGUCCGGCAGUGACUAAGAGAUAACAUGGUUUCCCCCAAGAUGGCUGAGGAAGGAUUGAUCCGGUCACGCUCAUACUCAACGAAGACACUUGCUGCUUCUAAACUGAUGACCCCAGUUUCAGAAGGGAACAACACUAGCCCAAAAAUAGCGAAGGCCACCAACCUAUAUCGCUCGUCUCCCAACUUGCCUUCUUCGGCAUUUUUCCUCAUUCGGGCUUCAAUGACCUUCCAUUUAAAACCCCCUUCAGCAACUCUACACUGGCUGAUCUUUCCUAAACUUAAUAAGCUGAUUACUUCCGAAGCUGUGUCUUCAAAUCUGCGUCGGUGGUAGAUUCGGUGGCUAUCAUUUGGAAAGUCCAGAAUUCUCUCAUAUUCUUCCAAAGUGGGUGUCAUAUCGAUGUUUCCAAAGGUAAAACACCGAUAACUCGGAUCCCAAAAAUGCAGAAGGGGCUUUGAUCGCCGCUGCUUGUACAGGUAACCUCAUUAUCUGUGUAAUUCUCCCAUAUCGCCUUUCAAACAAAGUCUCAUCGACAUAUUCCAUGAUAGGCAGCAACUUUCCUAAGUCGUUUACCAUGUGAUUUACCUUGGUAAUGCAUGGUAAACCACUAGUAUCGAUUCUUGGGCAUUUUCCUUCGGCAAUCUGAGCCAACUCAGACUCUUGUCCAUAUUCUUGGAAAGAGAGGUACUUAGUCAUGAUUUCAGCUCAAAAACCUGGGUAGAUGAAUUCAACAGUAUUAAACGUGAUGCAAAAUGAAAGUAAGAUUCACAACCUAAGGACAAGCUCUAAUUAUCAAGUGAGAAUGGGUAGUUUUUCUAUCUGGUCUUGAAGGGUCUCAUAUCUGCCCAGUGACGUUCUUCGUAAAGAAGUAUGGGGGCGUUGCAAGGAACAGUUAAGACACGUAUGCCCACCAUUACCAAGCAGGCACUCAGAUAUGAGUUGGGUGUUUCACGCAUUUAAACCCUGACCAAUAGUCUUAGGGUAAAUCGCUAAUUCCCCACUUAACUUAAAGCUUGUGUGUGCUUUUUAAAAUUAAAGCAAGUGAUGCAUGAGACAAUUGUAUAGAAUGCAUGAAUAAUAUGAAUAAAAUAAAAUAAAUACGCAAAUAAAAGGACAGGCAUAUUAACAAUAAACACCCAAAAAAACACAAACAAAUCAGACAAAAACAAAGCUUAGUCUACAAGGUCCCCAGUGGAGUCGCCAUUCUGUCGCACGUAUGCGGCGUCGCGGCGAAAAACUAAGUUUUCCAUUUUUAAAACCACAAUGUAAUAUAUAUAUGGGGAUACGAGAAAAAUAUUUUUUUUUGGUAAAAAUGGAAUGGGAGUCGCCACCUAGUAUUUUGGUCACUAGGAACCCUAACUGGUCUCAGAGAUCGGGUACGGGGACUGGUUGCGUAAAGGGAAGGUAUUAGCACCCCAAUACGCCUUACCUAAGGUAAGCUGCAUUGUUUAUUGUCUGAUAAAACUAUGGUGUUUUUUUUUUCUAGUCGUUGGUCUGUCUAUGGUUCAAGAAAAAUCCUCCUCAGUAAGAAGGUCUUUUAUCUUAUCGGGUAAAAACUUAACCGUUCUAACGUCUACCAAAAAAAUAAUAUUUAGGAAUACGUUUUACGUAUAAAUUCGUAAUCCCAAAUACUAAAAGAAAACAAAAAGAUUUUUUAGAAUUUUUGAAAUAUUGGCCUAGUUCUCAUGGCUUAAAUAAACUGGUUAUUCAAGCCAAAAUGCAUGCUAAUACAUAUAUUGUUUUGAAAAUUUUCUUUGUUGUGUAAAAAAUGAUGUUAUAAUAUUUAUAUCUAUAUAUAUGGAGAGACUAAGCCGUAUUUUAAAGACAAAAACAAUUUUUGAAAAUAUUAUUAUUAUUAAUUCUUUUUUUUUUGCUUUUUUUGACGUAAAUCGGGUAUUUAAAUACUGAGCUUGUAUCCUUACGGUAUAAAAAUACAACCCAAUAUUAUUCCACCUUAAUAAAAAAUGCAGAAAAAUCAAACAACAUUUUUAGGUAUUUUUAGAAAUUUUUUUGAAAGCAAAAACAUUUUUUAUUCGAAAAAUCUUUGAUAUUUUUACGAAAACCGGGUAUUUUUAACACUGGUUUGAUAUCUUUACAGUAUAAAAAUACCAACCAACAUUAACCCAUUUUGACAAAAAUAUUCAGGGAAAUCAACAAUAUUUUUUAAGAUUUUUCGAAAUAUUUUUUUUUUAGUAAAAAAUAUACACAAUAUACACACAUAUAUAUUACAAUAUACUAUAAUUAAUAAUAUAUUUAUAAUAAAAAUUCGGGUUGGGCGGACCAAAUGAAUGGGCCGAACCCAACCCAGCCGGAAUCGGGCCCAACAUCAGCCCGAAACAGGAGUGGGCCGAUCGCAGCCCAGCAAAAGGCUGGGCCGAUCUCGGCCCGCAAGGAGGUUGGGCCGAUCUCGGCCCAACGAAAGGCUGGGCCGAUCUCGGCCCGCAAGGAGGUUGGCCGAUCGGCCCAACGAAAGGCUGGGCCGAUCUCGGCCCGCAAGGAGGUUGGGCCGAUCUCGGCCAACGAAAGGCUGGGCCGAUCUCGGCCCGCAAGGAGGUUGGGCCGACUCGGCCAACGAAAGGCUGGGCCGAUCUCGGCCCGCAAGGAGGUGGGCCGAUCUCGGCCCAACGAAAGGCGGGGCCGAUCUCGGCCCGCAAGGAGGUUGGGCCGAUCUCGGCCCAACGAAAGUGGGCCGAUCUCGGCCCGCAAGGAAGUGGGCCGAUCUCGGCCCACACAAGGCUGGGCCGAUCUCGGCCCGCAAGGAAGUUGGGCCGAUCUCGGCCCAACACAAAAAACAUCUUUAGCCUGGGCCAGACUCGGUCUGGCCCAAAAUGAAUAACAACAAAACUGGGCCGGAAACCCGGCCCAGUGUUAAAAAAAACUCAGCGGGGAAGGGAAAACAAUUCCCUUCCCCUACCUCCUGCAUGCAGAACGAUUCUGCAUGCAGGAGGACAAACAGAAAAAAAAAGUGCAGGGGGUGGAGGAAAUACCUGGCACGGCGGAGGAAAUACCCGUGUUGAUGGUGCUGCAGCAAAGUUGGUGGCUCCCAAGCGACGGUGCUUAACAGUCGGGUGUCCUCUCGGGUCGUGUCGGUUAACGUUUUCUCUAACUCUCCCCACGGCUUCAGUCUUCUUCCCCUCCUCCCCGUGCUGUUUCUUCGAGUUUUAGGUGUUUAGUUCUACUGUUUAAGUCGUCUCUCUCUCCUCCAGUUUCUCUCUCUCUCUUGGUCUCGGUCUCCCCUUUUUUCUCCUCUUUUUCCCCCGUGCUUCACAUCUUUCCUCUUCUUUUAUAGGCGGGCAAAGGAGCGGGGCUGCAUGGGCAGCGUGGGGAGCAGAACAAGGUGGGUCGAGCUGGGCAACGUGGGGGGCAGCGCCGGUCGGCUGGUCGGUGAGCGUGGUCGAUCACGGCGUGGCCCUCCUGGCUUCGCGUCGUCCGAGGUGCAUGGGCCUGGUCUGUCAGUGCACGUGAGGAGAGAGGGGCACCGGUUGAUUAAACAACGGUUUCGUCCAUGCUGCUGCACGUUCGGGGAGGAAGAAGAAAGGGAACAGUGCCGUUCAAAACGGCACCGUUUGGUCCCUUUUUUUUUUUUUUUUUUUUUUUUUUUUAAAAUAUAUGAAACGGCGUCGUUUUGGGGAAAACGCGCCGUUUCAUUUAAAAAAAGGCGCCAGAAUACGCAAAAUUUCAACUCAGCCCUCAAUUAUCUUUUGAUUCCUUCAAUUGCGUCCCUGCCAAUUUCGGUCCUCGCCCCCAUAGUUGGCCGCGUUUUUCAUCUUGGUCCUUGGCCUCUGAUUUAUGCAAUUAAGCCCUCAAUUGACCAAUAAACUCCAAUCUUCAAUUACGCCCCUGAUCAAUCAAGACAGCCCUCUAUUUACCGCGCGUGUUCCAAAUUGGUCCCUGGUUUCGGAUUUUCACAAUUAAGCCCCUAAUUGGCCAUUAAACUUCAAUAUUUAUGCAAUUAAGCCCCUGAUUUGGCCUAAUAAAUUCCAAAAAAAUAUAUUUUGGCCCCAGAACUUAAAUUUCUCCCAAUUAAAACCCAAAUUGACCUAAAAAUAAAUUUUUCUUGCACUCCAAUCCUCUAUAAAUUCAAAUAAAAUCCAAUUAAGUCCCUAAACAUCCAAAUUUGGGCUUUUCUCCUCAAAAAUUCAAAUUUUCCUUCUCAACAGGGCUCUCAUCCUUCAAGAAAAUAUUGCCAAAAAUCCAAUCUCUGUAUUUUUAACCUCCGUGACCAAUCUUUCGACCAUUUUCUGAGCGCUUAUGCCUCCUGUUAUUUUUUCUAACCUUCUUCGGCUAUUUAUUUAUUAUUAUUUUUUUGUGGGGAUCCAAAAAUGGGUUACAACAAUAAUAUACAAAACGGACAUCUAGUUCUUGUUCGUAAAUUCAAAAUCAAAUGGUGGGAUUCUUUCAAAAGUUCCAAAUUAGCUGUUACAGAAUGGUUACAAAAACAUCAAAGAACUCCCAUCAUUGAUCAUCAUCCUCAAUCAAAGUUUCUAGCUAGAAAGGCUCAAACGGCAGCUCUCCUUACCUUUGCUAGAACUGAAGAAGAAUACCUACAAAUAGUUCAAAGCAUUAUACAAAGCCAAGACCAGAAAACGGUCUUGUCCCAAUCCAGCUCAUCUAGAUCGAUAUCUCCUGUCAUUUCCCUUGGAGAUGAUAAUGAAGAUGAUUGUUUUGGUAUCCUACCACCUAUCAAGCAACAUUAAAAAAAAAAGAGUAUUUUUCAAGCUUUCUCAGGCUCAUCUGUUUAGAGCCAUAUCUUUUCGACUCACCUGUUUUAAGUUCUUUUUUAUUUUAAGCCCAUUUGUUUUAGGCUUUCUUUUACAAAUAUUACCUACUACUACAAACAAACAAUCCAGUGUCGGUGGCAAGAAGACAACAGAUGAAAGUCCCAUAAAAAACAUGGGCAUUUUCCAUUUUGUCGUCACCCAAUCAUGGCAGGCAAUACCACAUGGGUUCACAGCAAUACCACAUGGGUUCUGAUGGAAUCUUCAAGCUUUCCCAACAAGACAUUUUGGCCUCUUCCAUGUCAACUCGUCUAUAAAAGGGGACUCCUAAAUCUUUAGAAGGCAGAGUAUCAUUUUCCCUGAUAAAAUUUUAUUCUCCCUUGUAACCCAUACCUGUAACCUAUAUCCACUCUCCUAUGUACCCAAUAUCUCUUGUAUUAAUUUACAUUACAAAUUUAAAUACGACUCUAUUUUCAUUAUUUACAUUCUUGUUAUAUUUUAUGUAUGUUAAGUAUGCUCUGUGUUUAAUCAAGGAUCCUGACAUUGUUGGUCUUGCCUUGUUCAUUCACAUCAGAAAUAUGUUUAUAUUAUAUAUUUCUUUGAUCUUUUCAUAAAACAGCAUAUAGGCUGGAAACUUGUGACCUGAUCUUUUAGAUCAUUCUUAGGUAUAACAACGCCACGUACUGAGUAUUUCUUUUCAUAUUUUGGUGUGUGUGUGUGUGAGAGAGAAAGAGAGAGAGAUAAAAUUAAGACCAUUGAGGUUAUUUUUUAGGCUUUGACUCUUUUUCUUUAAAGCUUUGACGUUUAGGGGUGAGCAAAAAAUCAAAUAACCAAUUAAAUUGAGAAAACCAGAAAAAAAAAUCAAACCAAGACAAAAAACUGAAUUAAUCGAUUAGAAAAUGAUAAAAAAAAAAUCGGUUUAGUUUGGUUUCCAAAGUCUGAAACCUAUUGAAUCGAAUCGGUUCAAUUAGGUCAGCACUUGAAAAAAAAAACAGGUAUAAAUAAGAUAUUUUUUUCUAACCCUAAACCUAAAUCGGUAUUCCCAACCGCCCCCUCCCUUUGCUCCGCCUCUCUUUAUCUCUCGUCUCUCUCAAAUUGCCUCCUUCUCCUCCGUGCUCCAUAACUAUUAAAAUAUAUGCUCCUCUAUCCUCUCGAUCAAAGGCACACUUGAAAUUAGAUAGUUUUAGAAAGGAAAGACAUAAGAGGAAUUGAAAUCACUGAACUAAAAAGAAAGGGUAUAUAAGCUGAAUAAAAGGUUAACAUAAAAGUUCUCAAAAAGAGAAAUGUUGAGAGGGAGCUUAACCAGCUAAAACAAAAGGAAAAGUGACUUCUACCACUUAACGAAGAUAAAGAUGGAUGGUUAGGAUCUAUAAACUUUUUGUAAUUGGUUUCCUCUCAUUCAUAUAAUAAUGAUUUGAUAGUUUUACAUUUCAAUAACUUUUGAUCUCUCUUUUUUUUUUUUCGCAACCAAAUUACUUCAUUUCUUUUAUUUUCUUUUCUUUUGUUUCGUGUAUCUUUUUGCGAAGUUUAAUUUUUGGGCAAGGAUCUAACAAAAAAAAAUAUUAAGAUUGAUUUUCUGAAUAUCAUACAUGCCUAAUAGCUUUAAGAAAAAGUCAUACUUGUUGAAAAAACCAAGAUGUCUUGGAAAAAUAUGGCUAAUAAAAAAACUUAGAAAAAAUUCAACCAAAAUAAUUUUGGUUUAAACCGGUUUGGAAUAAAAAAAACCCAAAUUAAACCGAAUUAAAACUAAUCAAUUUAAAAUAAUUUUUAAUUUGAAUAAAAAACUUUUAAAAAAAUUAAUUAUUUAUUUUAAUUCAAAACCGUACACGACUGAAAAUGCUCAGCCCUAUUGACGUUCGUGGUUUUGAGGGUGAGAGAAAUGGAAAGUAAAGGGGAAAGAGAAGAGGGUUGCUAAGAUGGAAACCACUUAUUUGAUCUACAGGGGUUCCAUUCUGAUAUUACCAAAUUUCCACGACAGAUGAAAUCACAUAUAAGCCCCUCAAUUAUUACAAAAUGUCAAAAAAAAAACUCAUAAAACCAUCCCAAACUACUAGAUAUUUAAAGUACAGUGAACAGAGACACAAAGGAGAAAAUAAUAUUGGACUCAUUAAAAACUAAUAAGAAUUCUGCUAAAAAAAUUAUUAUUAUUUCAUGUUUCUAUCUUUUAAUUAUAUUGUGCAUUUUUUUUUAUUUGGUAAUUUUAGAACGCUGUGAUAUUGCAUAAAGGGUUUGUGUUAAUCGUUAUUCUCUUGUGGAGCAAAAAGUAAAGCAAGCAUGGGCAGGAGGACAGCUUCUUGCUCUCUGUUUCUGUUUUUCACUCUUUUCACAACCUUGCAGAGUCCAAUUCUGGCUGCAAAAAAGGCAAGCUAGCAUGCAUUAAUGUUGUCUGAUCGUUUAGUCUUUCAAGUUACAUUUGCAAUCUAUCUUAUGUUAUAAUUCUGCUACUGACAGUGAUACCGGUGUCUGUGUACGUACAGUCUUAUGUGGUUUACCUUGGGAGACAAUCUUAUGCUUCUGAACCUUCCACCACUGACCUGGAUAGGGUAGCCGAUGCCCAUCAUGAACUUUUGGGUUCUUGUAUGAAGAGGUGAUGCAGUGCUGAGAAUUUCAGAUCUGUGAUCCAUGGUGUAUUUGGUUGUUCUAAUACUGAUGAUCAAGUUUGAAUUCGUUAUGACAGCAAGGAGAAGGCGAAACAAGCCAUCUUUUACUCCUACACUCGUUAUAUUAACGGUUUUGCAGCAGUACUGGAAGAUGAAGAAGCAGCUGAAAUUUCAAGUAUAUAUAAUACUAUUAUAAUUGUUCAGCAUGUAAAUCGUGAAAUCCUUGAUAAUAUUACAAAUAUGGUCUUGUUAAUACGUUUUCAGAGCAUCCAGAAGUUGUAUCAGUUUCUCGAAACCAAAUAAGGCAAUUACACACAACAAAUUCUUGGGGCUUUCUUGGACUGGAAAGAAAUGGAGAAAUUCCAGCUGAUUCUAUGUGGCUAAAGGCAAGAUUUGGUGAAGACGUAAUUAUCGGGACCCUUGAUAGUGGUAAUUAUAAUUUUACAUGUCUGUGUACAUGCAUAGAACUGGUCAAGUCUCCUUCAUAUCAUUUCAUCUUCUUAAUUUAAAUGCAUUCAAUUAUUUUGGACCAGGUACAGCUACCUUGCAUCUGAAAGAAAAAUCUCCAAUGAUGGUUAAUUUUCAAUCUAUUAUUCUUGACUGUGCAUGAUGCUAGGUGUUUGGCCAGAAUCCAAAAGCUUCAAUGAUGAAGGGAUGGGGCCUGUUCCAUCUAAAUGGAAGGGAUACUGUGAUCCAAAUGAUGGGAUUAAAUGCAACAGGUACUUUAAUUUCUUUCUCAAGGCCAGAGCUCUUUUCUUGACCUGAACUACUCAUUUUGCCUCUGAUAAUGAACCGCAGACAAAUUCUUCCGUUUCCUAUAGUAAGAUUAGUAACAUAAAAGAUAUGUUGUUAUUAGCAGGAAACUUGUAGGAGCAAGGUACUUUAGCAAAGGCUACGAAGCAGAAACACAUGAUUCUUCAUACCACACCCCGCGAGAUUAUGAUGGCCAUGGAACCCACACUCUAUCCACUGCUGGAGGUCGUUUUGUUUCGGGGGCAAACUUGCUUGGUUCAGCUAAUGGAACAGCGAAGGGUGGUUCGCCCAACUCGCGAGUCGCUUCAUACAAGGUCUGCUGGCCCCUCUGUAGCGAUGCUGAUGUGUUGGCUGGCUUUGAAGCUGCUAUUCAUGAUGGGGUCGAUAUCCUCUCAGUGUCACUUGGAUCCGGUCCGGGAGAAUACAUUACUGAUGGGAUUGCAAUUGGAGCAUUUCUUGCUAUGGAGCGCGGGAUUCUUGUGGUUGCCUCGGCUGGAAAUGAAGGACCUGACCCUGGAGUCGUUGGGAAUGUAGCUCCCUGGAUUCUUACAGUUGCUUGUAGCACUAUCAGUAGGGAGUUCACAUCUAAUGUCAUCCUUGGAAAUAACAAACACUACAAGGUUUGUUCUGUAAGCUCAUAUCUUUAGCAAGUCCUUUUAAAUUGUUCUACCUAUCAUGGGAUCCAAGAAUUUGCUAUAUUAAUUUCUAGAUAAUCAGGGUAUGAGUUUUAAUACCAACACUCAACCAGCUGGGAAGUUUUACCCCUUGAUCAAUUCGGUGGAUGCUAAAGCUGCCAAUGUUUCCAGUAAUCAAGCGUAAGCAGCAAACUAAUUUUGUUCUCAGCCAAAAUUACAUUUUCUGUAGUUGUCAGGUUCAUAUUUCUUAUCUUGUUGUCUUUGGCAGAAAAUAUUGCUCCAUCGGAUCCCUUGACCCCUUGAAAGUUAAAGGAAAAAUUGUAUAUUGUACUCGCAACGAAGAUCCUGAUGUAGAAAAGAGUCUGGUUGUUUCUCAAGCUGGUGGUGUUGGGGUGAUACUUGCUAACCGAUUGAUAAUUCAACAAAUCCGACCUUGGUGUUGGGGUGAUACUUGCUAACCGAUUGAUAAUUCAACAAAUCCGACCUCGGGCACACUUUGUUCCUACUUCCGUUGUCUCUGCAGACGAUGGACUUUCCAUUUUAACUUAUGUUUAUAGUACAAAGUAAGGUCUAUGUAAUAGAUAAUUCAGACAAUUAAACUCGGUUGAUUUCAGUCGAUAAUGCGCUGAACAAUCUAUCGUUUGCGAUCCUGUGAAUCUCUUGGAACUUCUCCUUUCACUCAGGUCACCUGUAGCUUACAUAAGUGGCGCCACGGAGGUGGGAACAGUGGCUGCACCUGUCAUGGCUGAUUUUUCAUCUCCUGGGCCUAACUUCAUCACCCCAGAGAUCCUUAAGGUACGUACUCUUAACAGUUUCAAAUGAGCGUUUUAAAAUACAUGCUCAAUAUUAUUUUUAUAGUGAGAGUGCAUCUGCUGAUUUCAGCCCGACAUCACCGCACCUGGAGUCAAUAUUCUAGCUGCCUUCACCGGAGCAUCAGGGCCAACUGAUGUGCCAGGAGACCGGCGCCGAGUACAUUUCAACUUUUUAUCUGGAACCUCAAUGGCAUGCCCCCAUGUUUCCGGAAUCGCUGGUCUUCUCAAGACUAUGCACCCUGAUUGGAGUCCUGCUGCAAUUAAAUCUGCAAUCAUGACAACGGGUUAGUGCUUUUCUGCUCUUCGCAUUAGCAUCUUCAAGUUAUUGGUGGACGAGUCAUUGAUACCUUGAGUGCUUGCUUACGACAUUUCAGCGACAACGAUCAGUAAUGUGAAGCAGCCUAUCGCGAAUGCUUUUCUUCUUGAGGCAAACCCAUUGAAUUAUGGUGCCGGGCACAUCUGGCCUAGCCGUGCAAUGGACCCAGGCUUGGUCUAUGACCUAACGACUAAAGAUUACGUGAAUUUUCUAUGCUCCAUUGGCUAUAACUCAACCCAGUUGUCACUUUUUAUUGGGAAGCCAUACAUAUGCCCGUCGCAGAACAAUGGCCUGCUGGAUUUCAACUAUCCAUCCAUUACUGUCCCGAAUCUCUCAAGCAAUAAGACCACGUUGUCCCGAACCUUGAAGAACGUGGGGACUCCAAGCUUGUAUAGAGUUAAUAUCAGGGCACCUGGAGGCAUAU